ensembl:lncRNA
UGCCAUCUUAACGAUAUUAAGUCUUCUAAUUCAACAUAAGAAUUUUAAACAAGAAAUAAAAUCAUUAUUAUUCCCAGACUGAAAUAGUUGUGCACAUUGAAAACCCAAAAUAAUCUACAGAUAAGUUGUUCAAAUUAAUAAAUCAACGUAGCAAGGCUUCUUGACAGAAGUUCAAUAUGAAAAUUAUGUCUAUGUACUAGCAACAAAGUUAGAAAAUAAAAAUUUUAAAAGGUAACAUUUACAAUAGCGUCAAAAAUACCUAGUACCUAGAAAUGAAUUGUAUGAAAGAUUUCCAAGAACUCUAAUUAGAAAACUAUAAAAUAUUCUUGGGAGACCUAGAUAAUUAGAAGGAUAUACUAUAUUCAAGGAUUAGAAGAUUCAAUAUUAUAAAGAUGUCAAUUCUCCUCAAACUGACCUACAGAUUCAACACAAUCUCAGUGUAAAUUCCAAGAUUUUUUCCUGGUGUAAUUCAAGCAUGUGGAAAUGUAAAAGGCCAAGAAUAGCCAAAAUAUUCCUGAUACAAGACAGUAAGAUUUAAGGCUACAGCAAUUAAGACAAUGUGGUAUUCGCACAAGGAUAGACCAAUAGACCAGUGGAACAUAUUAGAGUCCAGAAGCAGACCCAUACAUAUAUGCACACCUGAUUUAUGACAAAAUAGCUCUCCAGAGCAGUGGUACUGGGUCAAUAAGAAAUCCAUAUGAAAAAGUGAAAUUUGACCCCUUCCUCAAACUAUACAAAAAAAAAAAAAUCAAUUCCAGAUUAAAUAAAGCUCUAUGAACAGCAAACAAUAAAAACUCCAGGAGAUAACAGCUUUGGGUUAUGCACAGGUUUCUUAAACAGGACCCCAAAACCACUAACCAUGAAGGAAAAGAUUGAUAAAUUUGACUACAUUUAGAUUCAGAUCUUCUGUUCAUCCAUAGAGUGGGAGAAAAUAUUUGUGUUAUGUAAAAUUGAUAAAGGGAUGUGUAGCAAAUGGAAUUCUCUUAUGCUGUUCGUGGUAUAUUUAUUUUGGAAAACAAUCUGGCAUUAUCUACUGAAGUUGAACAUACAGAUAGCCUCUGGCAAUUCUGUUGGGUGAUGACCUAGGAGUAGAAUUUCCAUGUGAACCAAGAGAUAGGGUAGCACUGUCCAGAAUAGCUUCAAACUGGAAGCAACUCUUACUGUAGAUAUUUCCUAGUGGCUCAUCUGAAUUGUGGUAAAGUAUUUCAUUAUAUAGUAUAGACCACAAUUUAUUUAAUCCAUUGCUUUUCUGAUAGAACCCUGACUGAUAUAUCAUUUAUGCCAAUUUUUCUACGGAAGUGAUCAUCUUUCUUAUACAAAUUAAUUUGUAAGAGUUCUUUGCAUGUUAAGAAUCUUAUCUGUCAUAUAUGUUAUAAAAUGUAUUAAUUUUUCAUUAAUCUUUUAUCUUUCUUUACAAUAUUUUGUUGUAUGAAAGCUUUAUAUUUUUAUGCAACAAAUUUAUCAGUAUUUUUAUUUGUGGCUUUUGGGUUUCAUGACAUGCUUAGAGUAGCUUUUUCAACACUAAGAUUAUAAAAAUAUCCACCCAUAUUUUAAUCCAAUAUGUGUAUAUAUAUAUAUAUUUUUAAAGAUUGGCACCUGAGCUAACAACUGUUGCCAAUCUUUUUUUUCCCUGCUUUUUCUCCCCCAAAUCCCCCCAGUAUAUAGUUGUAUAUUUUUUAGUUGUGAGUCCUUCUAGUUGUGGCAUGUGGGACGCCACCUCACCGUGGCCUGAUGAGCGGUGCCAUGUCCGCGCCCACGAUCUGAACCAGCAAAACCCUGGGCCGCCGAAGUGGAGCACGGAAACUUAACCACUUGGCCAUGGGGCCGGCCCCUGUAUAUGGUUUUAUUUUUGUUUAGUCCUUGAUCCAUCUAGAAUUUAUUUUUGUGUGUAGGGCUCUCACUUCAGUGCAUCCAAAUAAAGAGUCAAUCGUCAUAUUAAACCAUAUCUUUUUUCCCCACUGAUAUGAAAUGCCACCUUUAUCAUCUGUUAUAGUCGCAUAUAUACACUAUUAUAAGGUGUAAUAGAUACUGAAUGGCAAAUAAGAUAUCUUAGAAUUCUUCAAGCUUAAGAGGAUACAGCUACUGAGAGGAUAGGUUUCAGUAUCAACACAGAUAUUUAUGCAUGGACAGAAAAAGAUGUCUGUAUGCUUAGCUGUCAAAUAGAGAGAGACUGGGGGAGGGUCAAAUGCACUACAUGAUAUCACAAGGAGUGAUAGAAUUCUAUUUGGAACUUCAGAGGCCUGAGAGGAAGACUCUGGCCAGUUUCUUCUGAAGACUACUGCACUCUGAGGCCUCAUUCACUGGCUUCUUUGGAUCCCUGGCUGCUAAGCCAAUUUUCAGACAAAGCUACCUUGGAAAGAGCCAAGGAAAAAGCCAUCUCCCCUUGGCCGAGUGAGCUAGGAGAACAGCUAAGUGGCCCUCAGGAGACUCCAUGGACUCUCCCCAGAAUCUGCUGAGCAUUGGAUUUCUGCUGUGCUCUCUGGCUUGCCUCCUGGAGACUGUAGGUUCCUCAACAUCGCCUUUAUCUGCCUUUGGAGUAGAAGGCAAAGCAGGAUCAAAACUACGCUCAAUGGGUGUGUUUGCUGUUAGGAUGAAUGUUCGUAGCUUUGUAAGACAUAAGAUUCGUGUCUCAGUUCAGAAAAAUUGAUUUUAUAUUUAAAAAUAAUGUUCACAAGAAAGCAAACUAUUCUGGUUUGGUUCAAUUUAGUUCAACAAGAGCUAACUCACUUACUGUGUGCACCAAACCCUUUGCUGAAUGACAUGGAUUAGGAGUUCAGAAAUGUGCAGCCAAAGCCACAGAUGCCAACCCUCCAUGGAAUAUGACACAUGCUCCCUGAGGAAAAAAGGAUAAAGUUGUCACAAAUAAAGUAAAAUAAAAUGAAUGAAAAAAUAAAGGGAUAAAUAAAGUUGGGGGAGGGAUCAGGGAAGCCGACAAAGGAAAUGAACUUUAAGCUAAACCUGAUGACCCAUUGAUCUGUGGCUUAGGUGCUCCCAAAGCCCAGCUUCCAACAUGCAUAGCCAUGCUGCUCAGAUCCUUUCCGGAGCUCCAGCUACGGAAAGUGUCUGCCUGGUGAGUGGUGAACCCUCUUGACUCCACACCACAGACACUCUUUUUCCCCUACCUCUUUCCUUGGGAUUAAAUCACAUUCCCCUCUUCUUCCUCUCCAACUUCCUAAAGAAAAGACCCAGUAUCUUGAGCCUUACCUUGAUCAGCAGACUCCCUCUAAAGUUCCUUCUGCCAGUUUCCCUGGCCCCUUCCUCCUCUGGAUGUUCCUGCAGCUGAUAGCCCUCUUUUUUCUCUUCCUGAGGCACUCACUGCCCUCAGCCUCUUGCAGAACUCCCAAACAUACUCUAGGCAACCAUAUAUUAGUUAUCAGUUCAUGCUCCUCUUUCACAAAGUACCCCAUUUACUCAAGAAGACCUCAAAACAACCCUUAAGAUGUCUGGGGCAGAGAUGAUUUUUCCUAUUGAUUUGUGAGGAGGCAAAGAUGAUAACCACCUAAGGAUACCUUUUGUGAGUGUACGUUUACCCCUUGAAUGCCUUAGAGGCAGCACAGCAAAGUAGUCAAGAAUAUGGGCUCUGGACAACUAUAAGAGCAUGAUAUUUGAGACAACUAUUUGAACUUGAACCAAGGUUCAAAUUCCAGCCUCAUCAUUUACUUGACCUCUCCUCAAUGAACAUCUAUGCUCUUUCUGCAGAAAAUCACAGAUCCUGGCUGAGCAACUUCAGGGAGUACUUGGGGGAUCUCAUCAAGAGCUCCGUACCUCCAGCAGCCAUUUUUGCUUUGCUUGUCAUCACAGCACUGAUGGGGACCCUCUGCUGCCUCACGUAAGCUGCUGUGUGGCAUGAGGAGAGGGGAGGAUAGAGGGAACCUGAGGGAGAGACAGGAACAAUCAGGUUCCCUACCAGCCUGCACAUCUGUAAUUAAGGGAAAGUUUCUUUUUUUUUUGAGGAAGACUAGCCCUGAGCUAACAUCUGCUGCCAAUCUUUCUCUUUUUUUGCUGAGGAAGACUGGCCCUGAGCUAACAUCCAUGCCCGUCUUCCUCUACUUUAUAUAUGGGACGCCUACUACAGCAUGGUGUGCCAAGUGGUGCCAUGUCCGCACUCGGGAUCCAAACUGGUGAACCCCGGGCUGCUGAACCAGAAUGUGUGCACUUAACCACUGAGCCACUGGGCCAGCCCAUAAGGGAGAGUUUUAAGAAAGGUAAUUCUGGGGACAAAACUCCAAAAGGCCAUGCAAGUCCCUUUUAAAAAGUCUCCUCUACCAGGUGGACUGUGGGGUG